CCUGCUACUAGAAGCAUUGCAGGAGUGGCAAUGUGUGUGUCAGUAGGUGACAGAGAGGAGAGAAGUUAUGCCUACACUCAAGAUAUUCACAAUCAGUGUGAAUAUCUGGAUGAUCAGUAGACUGACAUU
ensembl:snoRNA